AGGAAAGCAUCGGGUGGACCAAUCUUGUAUAGUUGACCAAUGACAGUAAUGUUGUAUUUCCCAUUGGGGUCUGUGUUUAUAUGAACCAUGUGAAGUUCCAUAUCAUACCUCCUGCCAUUGAUGGAGUGCUCAGAAGGAGAGUGCCAAUGGCAUUGUUGGAGAAAAUACUCGUUCCCAUUUAUCUCUAUUGAUCCAGCCUUGUGUUCCCCCCACUGCAGUGAAAUAUCGUGGCCUCGAUUCUUGAGUAUAGAAUAAGAAGGCUUGUAAUUCCUCUUGAGUCCUCCAGAAUUUCUGAUAACCUUAACUCUUCGAUUAGACAUAUCAAUGGGAGAUUGCAAAUUUCCAGACUUGCAAGAAGCCCAGUCUUUUUUAAGCUCUCCCCAGUGUUCUGGUCCUUUCUUCCUUCCUGGAGCAUAAUCGAACUCUCUCUCAUCCUCCACCUCAACUUGAUGAUCUUCAGCUGCAAGUGAUGCUAGAUAUGAAAAAAGGAGGACAAAGAUUAGACUAGCAGAAAAGAACAGGUAUGAUCGCUGUUGCUUCAUGUUUUGAUCAAAAAAGAGAGAGAUUUAGAACCAGCAGGAAGAUUGGAA
rnacentral:misc_RNA from 1 species